rnacentral:lncRNA from 1 species
UUCAAUUCAAAUAAUUUUUAAUUUAUUAAUUAAAUCCUUCAGUUUCAAUAAAAAUUCCAAUUUGUCAAAUAGCUUUACAAGCUGCAAUUCAAUUUCAAUAAAUUUCCAAUUUAUCAAAUAGCUUUACAAGCUGCAAUUCAAUUUCAAUAAAUUUCCAGUUUAUCAAAUAGUUUUACAAGCUGUAAUAAGCUGUCCAAGUAUCAUGUAAUUAUUAUUAUUAUUAAGCAUGAUUUUUGCCGAGGUCGUACGGCCCGAUCCAAAGUUUCGUGUACACUGCCGAGGGACGUGCGACACGAUCCAUAGAAGCAUCUAUCCUGCCGAGGCGUUAGGCCCGCUCUACAAGAAAGGAAGAUAUUUUCUUAUGUACCUCUGGAAGGAGAGUAUAUUUAUUAUAAGAUAAAUUCGGGAGGAUGAACAAUUUCUUUAAACAGUUAAUUAAUUUAAACAGAAAAUUAAGCAUAUGAAAUUUUCAUCUUUAUUAUAUUUCCUAACAAUUCACAAUUUAUAUAUCAAAUAAUUCAAUUAAAUAAAGAAUACAAUUUACACAAGUAAUUCAUGUUGUGUGUCCUAAACUACCCGGACUUUAGCAUUAAUAGUAGCUACGCACGGACUCUCGUCACCUCGUGCGUACGUAGCCCCCACAAUUAACAACCAUUAUUAAUUUAAUCACAUAUGGGGUAAUUUCCCCCUCACAAGAUUAGACAAGAGACUUACCUCGCUCCGAAGUUCCAUAGCCGGCUCCCAAGCCUUUCAAAUAACUCGACCGAUGCCCAAUGCUCCAAAACUCGCUUUCGCUUUAUUAACAUUCACAAGCUUUAAUCCUCCUCCGGCAUCGUAACAUUGAGUAAAAUACUCAUACGCCACCAACAAAUUGAUAUCUACAAUUACAAUCUCAAUUACAAUCAAAAUAUGACUCAAAAAAAUUUAUCAAUAUUCAUUUAUGGCUCUCAAGUUGGCUACAAGCCUCCAGCUCAAAUCGUCUAAUAGGUUCACUUACUAGCAUAUUCAACUCCACUCUUAUCAUUCAAUACCCAUUUGAAGUCAUCAAUGAUAUUACAUUAAUUCUCCAACACCGCCAAAUUACUAUUCAUCGUCUUCCUUAACCAACAUUUUCAAAAAUUCAAUUUGGUGAUUAAUUAGUUGAAUACUUUCAACUAAGCUAGAAUAUGAUUCCAUAGGUUCAUUGCAUCCUUUAAUUUCAUUUCUAAGAAAAAUAUUUAUCUUUCCUUCAUUUUCUCAAGAACACUAUUCAUGCCAUGAACUAGAGUUUAUGAAAUUAAUUAUCCAACCAUAACAACUUGAAACAACUAUUAGAAUUACUCUCACCGACUCAUAAGAAAUGAGCUUGAAGCAUUAGUAUUACCUUCUUGAAGCUUUUCCUUGAAAUUCCAAUGUUUGGAAAAUUUGGUGUUCUUGAACAACUUGAAAGAUUUUUAGGGAUUUCAAAGAUUGAAGGAUAUUGAUACUAGUGUUAAUAGGAUAUUAUUAACUUAAAAUAUCCAAACAAAACUCACCUUAUAUUCUUAAGUAGUCCCCAAGGUCGAAUCCACCAUGAAAAAACCAAUCCCUAGCUCAAGAAAAUCCCCAAAAAUUGCUGCUGCCCGUGACUGCCUUAUAAAGGCACAGGUGCUUCAGCGAGUUGUUCCUUGCACUGUGCAGGUUGUACCUCGUAUUACAAGUUUUGCCUGCUGGACACCAUUUACUAAAACGUCCAUAAGUCCUUGUAGAAAUAUCCAAAUGACGAACGGUCGAAAGCGUUAGAAACCAGACUCGAAGAUCUUUCAUUUGAUAGGUUUUACACUAUAUAAAUCCUUAUAUAUAUAGGCAAGCACGUCUAAAGUUAUGUUUUUGUGUGUACUUAUUUGGAACUUUAGUCUAUCAUGUAAUUUUCAACUUGAUUAAGACUUAGGGCUCUCCUUAGACCCUACAUCACUUAUAAUAUGACUCGUUCACUUAUUAACAUACGAACCUACUGGAACCUUAAAAUCCCGAUUCCGGGGUCGUUUUCUCAAAGUGUUGACCGAAGUCAAAUUUGCCCUUUUAAGGCUAACUUAAGGAACCAAGUGUUCUGAUUUCAACCCAAACACUUCUAAAUCCUGAACCAACCAUCCCCGCAAGUCAUAAAUUAUUAAAAACACAUUCGGGGAGUUUUAUUUAGGGGAACGGGAUUCUAAAAGUCGAAACGACCGGUUGGGUCGUUACAGUGUGUGUGCUCUUUGUAUUUGUUACAAGGCAAAUUGAUAAGGUUUGUUAGAGGGAAUAUUUGGGAAAGUGAGGUGGUGAUAUUCUAUUGGUAAAGUACAACAACAACAACAACAACAACAACAACAACAACAACAACAACAACAACAACAACAACAACAACAAUAAAAAACCCAGUAUGAUCCCAACAGGUGGGGUCUGGGGAGGAAAGUCUGUACGCAUACCUUACCCCUACCUAAUGCAGGUAGAGAGGUUGUUUCCAAUAGACCCUCGACUCAGGGAGGGCAAGAAGAAGAAGAGGAAAGCAAUGAAGGAAGAAAGAAGGAAGAGAAAAGAAAAAGGGAGAGAUAAAAGAUAAGUAGUACCAAAUAAUAGCAAUAGGGAAUACAAUACCUGAGGCAAACAAAAUCACAUAACGUAAUGAAAAUCUAAGAAUAUGAAUGGACAUGCAUGCUACUAAGACUAUCGGUGAACAACUAAAAACUACCCACUAACCUUGUACCUUAAUCAUCGACCUCCACACCCUUCUAUCAAGGGUCAUGUCCUCAGUGAGCUGAAGCAGCGCAUGUCCUGUCUAAUCACCUCUCCCCAGUACUUCUUAGGCCUACCUCGACCUCUUCUCAAACUCUCCAUGGCCAACCUCUCACAGCUCCUGGAAAGAGCAUCAAUGCUUCUUCUCUUAACAUGUCCGAACCAUUUCAGCCUUGACUCCCGCAUCUUGUCCUCCACGGAGGCUACUCCCACUCUGUCCCGGAUAGCUUCAUUCUUAAUCAUAUCUCUCCUGGUAUACACACACAUCCAUCUCAACGUUCUCAUCUAUGCUACUUUCAUCUUCUGCACGUGGGAGUUCUUGACUGGCCAACACUCAGCCCCAUACAACAUAGCUGGUCGAACCACCACUCGAUAAAACUUACCCAUAAGUCUUGGCGACACAUUCUUAUCACAUAAAACAUCGGAAGCGAGCCUCCACUUCAUCCAUCCCGCUCCGAUGCGAUGUGCGACAUCUUCGUCAAUCUCCCCGUUACCCUGGAUAAUAGACCCAAGAUACUUAAAACUCGCUCUCUUGGGGAUAACUUGAGCAUCAAGCUUAACCUCUACGUCUGCAUCAUGGGUCCCGUCACUGAAUUUGCACUCCAAGUAUUCUGUCUUGGUUCUACUCAAUUUGAAAUCUUUAGACUCCAAGGUCUGUCUCCAAACCUCCAACCUCGCGUUAACUCCGCUUCACGUCUCGUCAAUCAACACUAUAUCAUCGGCAAAUAGCAUACACCAAGGCACCUCCCCUUGGAUGUGUCGCGACAGUACAUCCAUCGCCAAGGCAAAUAACAAAGGGCUAAGAGUCGAUCCCUGGUGCAACCCCAUCACCACAGGGAAAUACUUCAAGUAACUUCCCACAGUCCUCAUCCGAGUCUUAGCAUCAUCAUACAUAUCCUUAAUCACCCUAAUGUACGCUACCGGAAUGUCGCUAACCUCCAAACAUCUCCACAGUACCUCCCUCGGGACUUUAUCGUACGCUUUCUCAAGGCCAAUAAACACCAUAUGCAACUCCUUCUUCCUCUCCCUGUACUGCUCCACUAAUCUUCUUACCAGAUGAAUCCCUUCCAUAGUCGAACGCCCCGGCAUGAAUCCAAACUGAUUCUCGAAAAUAGACACGCACCUCCUCACCCUGGCCUCAACCACCCUCUCCCAGACCUUCAUAGUGUGACUCAACAACUUGAUACCCCUAUAAUUGUUGCAAUUUUGGAUAUCGCCCUUGUUCUUGUAAAGCGGAACCAUCGUACUCCGCCUCCAUUCUUCGGGCAUCUUCUUCGUCUUAAGAAUAACAUUAAACAGCCCAGUGAGCCACUCCGAACCUGCCCUCCCCGCGCUCUUCCAGAAUUCCACCGGGAUUUCGUCUGGCCCCGUCGCUCUGCCCCUGCACAUCUUACGCAUCACCCCUUCCACCUCCUCUACCGUAAUCCGCCUACAGUACCCAAAAUCCUGUCAACUCUCAGAGUGCUCCAACUCACCCAUUACAAUGCUUCUAUCCCCCUCCUCAUUCAACAGUUUAUGGAAGUAUGUCUGCUAUUUUCUCCUAAUAAGUGCCUCGUCCAUCAACACUUUGCCAUCCUCGUCCUUGAUGCACUUGACUUGGUCUAAGUUACGGGUUUUCCUUUCCCUCACCUUGGCCAACCGGUAUAACUUCUUGUCCCCGCCUCUUCCCCUGAGCUCAUCAUACAAAAGAGCAAACGACGCGUUCUUAGCUGUCAUAACUGCUAACUUCGCAUCUUUCUUUGCCUUUCUGUAACACUCCUGAUAUUUCCUUUUUUCCUCCUCGUUUGUACUCUCCACUAGCUUCAAAUAAGCAACUUUCUUAGCUUCCACUUUACCUUGAACCUCUCCAUUCCACCACCAGUCCCCUUUAUGACCCCCAGGAGAGCCCUUCGUGACCCCUAAGACCUCUCUAGCAGCUACCCUAAUGUAAUUUGCAGUCUUGAACAACAUACUAGACGCGUCCCCCCUACUCGUCCAGGCCCUCAUAGCCAACAACUUCUCCCCUAAAUCUUGAGCUUUGUCCUUGGUCAAGUUACCCCACUUGAUCUUAGGUUGCUUGCACCCCUCCCUCUUCUUCCUACUCCUCUUAAUCUCCAGGUCCAUAACUAGGAGCCUAUGUAGGGUCGUGAGGUGCUCACUUGGGAUGACCUUGCAGUCAGUGCAUAGACCUUUAUCGCAUUUCCUGCAGAGAAGAUAAUCAAUCUGAGUCUUGCCCAUUGAAUUACGGAAAGUGACCAGGUGCUCUUCCAUCUUCGGAAAACCCAAGUUAGCUAUAACCAAAUCAAAAGCUCUAGCAAAAUCCAAUAGUGAAUUACCUCCCUCAUUCCUAUCCCCAAAACCGAACCUGCCAUGCACAUCAUCAUAACCCCCAGCACUAGCCCCAAUAUGGCCAUUGAAAUCUCCGCCAAUGAACAACUUCUCUGUGUGCGUGAUAUUACGCACCAUCUCGUCUAAAUCCUCCCAGAAUUGCUUAUUGACCUCCUGGUCCAAACCUACCUGAGGAGCGUAUGCACUAAUCACGUUUACAGUAAACACACCAACUACCAGCUUAAUACUCAUCAACCUAUCAUUUACCCUCCUAACCGCGACCACGAGCUCCCUGAGGUCCCUGUCUACUAAAAUACCUACCACAUUCUUACCCUCAGCGCUUCCUGAGUACCAUAGUUUAAACUUGUCUACAUCUCGUGCCCUAGUACUCUUCCAUCCAGUCUCCUAAACACACGCUAUAUUGGUCUUCCUCUUCUGAAGAAUCUUACCUAACUCUAUAGACUUCCCCGUCAACGUCCCAAUGUUCCAAGACCCAACUCUCAGCCUAGAGGCUUUCUUACCCCCCCCCCCCUUCCCACCCUCGGACCCCUCCCCCAGACCCACCCGAGGACAUGACCUUACUCUCACAUCAUUCACUACCGCCACUAUAAGCUAAAGGUAUUAGGUAAACACUACUACUAAGAACAAGUAGCGGGGACGAAGGACUACAAGCUACGAACCCGAGAACUAAGAACAACUCAAAGGAGCUACUACGCGAACAGUAAUGCGAGCAGGCACUAGAACAAUGAAUCUACCACGUCUAAGAAACUACCCCUAUGCAAACACAGAAUUAAAAUGGAUAGAUGAAACCUUAAGCUUAAAACACUAGUAGAAAAGAUAGAAAAAGCAAGCAAUCCAAUUAAAAUUGCCAGCAAAGCAACAGUAAAUAGAUGUGCGCAAAUACAAUUCAAGAAAGAUGGAACCUGGAUCACAGUCGGGGAUGUCCGGACGCGCUUCCAAAUCUGCUGAAUGAUGCUGCCUCCCGAACCCGUGUGUAGGAAAGUUUCGACGAUUUGUCAAUUUCACCGGAAAGGUAUCUCACAAUGGCAGUCGAAAAAUCUCUAUUCGAUAAUCAGAACUUGACACGAGAACUUUUACAACUGGCUAAAUAAAAUCUCAACUUCGCCGGAAUUGAGAAGUUCGUUCGCCGGAAUCUCGCUCCCUGUCCUAAAUUAACAGAAAUCUCCACUGCAAUACUCUGACGGAGGGUUCUUUAUUUUUCCGGCCAAAUGCAAUUCAAAUGUGAAAACCGAGCCAACCACAUAAUUUGUUAAUCGUAUUAACUAAAAUAUUCCUUGAUUGCGAGAUGUCUUUGAGAAACAAAGCCAAGAAGUCAGGGAACGAAACCAAAUAACAAAACCACCGUGAUGGGGCAGAAAAAAGAGAAACGGGGGACCACUUCUAAUUUUC